AUAAAUGUGAAAUAUUCUUCAUGACACUAUGCAUGGUACGAGCGAACAGAACUUCAUCUUCAUUGUACAUAGUUAUAGCAAUACAAAUUUCAGUUUUUCUCGGCUGAAAGAAUAGGGGCUGCCUUAAAGUGAAUAGGCUUUUCGAAAAGUCUUGUGGAUCACAUGUAGCAGCACUGUAGCGCAUGUAAGCAAAUUCUCGCUCUGUUUGCUGUGGAAGUGUAACCAAUAACUUCUUAGGAAUUGGACAAUCGAGGAUGAGAUUGCCAUGAAAUAAUUUAACUCGUUUAAUACUUUUAUUUCUUUGAAUUUUUUCAUUUGUUCUUUGGAAAUUUGCCUCUCGGUUCAUAG